rnacentral:lncRNA from 1 species
CCGAUGUUGAUGAUACACAACUCCCCCUUAGAGCCGACGGCCUAGGAGUCCUAGGGGCCAAUGGUGCAUGUUACUACUGAGAAGGUUCACCAACUACACUCCCCUAAAUGCCUUCAGAGAAUAGAUGCUGAUGGAGAUAAAUGAGUAGCUUCCCAGAGUGAGAAGGAUGCGGUCCAUGUCGGGUCAGCAUGGUCUGAACAAGUAUUGCCUCUAUCAUCACGACCAUGGCCAUAACACUAAGAAAUGCCUCCAACCCCAAGAUAAGAUCAAGGAGUUCAUCUAGCAUGGACAACUAGACC